UACGUAGGGGGCAAGCGUUGUCCGGAAUCAUUGGGCGUAAAGCGCGUGUAGGCGGCCCGAUAAGUCCGCUGUGAAAGUCCAGGGCUCAACCCUGGAAUGCCGGUGGAUACUGUCGGGCUCGAGUCCGGAAGAGGCGAGUGGAACUCCUGGUGUAGCGGUGAAAUGCGCAGAUAUCAGGAGGAACACCAAUGGCGAAGGCAGCUCGCUGGGACGGUACUGACGCUGAGACGCGAAAGCGUGGGGAGCAAACAGG
rnacentral:rRNA from 1 species